GAGUAGAAAACCCUAAACCGUUGGCCGGCCCGCUUGUCGCCGCUAGCUUGUUGCAAAACAUUCUCCAGGUCAUCUCCGUCAUGUUCGUCAGCCACCUCGGCGAGCUCGCUCUCUUCGGCGCCUCCAUGGCCACAUCCUUCGCCGGUGUUACUAGCUUCAGCUUCUUGCGUUGGAUACUAUGUGUGGGCAAGCUUUUGGAGCAAAGCAGUACCAUAUGCUGGGCAUACACAUGCAGAGACACAGGCUCAAUUCUUAGUCUGUUUGGUCAAGAUCCAGAAAUAGCUGCAGAAGUUGGAGCCUAUUCUCGAUGGAUGAUUCCCACCCUUUUCGCGUAUGGCCUCAUACAGUGUCAUAACAGUGUUUUCUACUUGCUUCUCUCGUGUCAUUUGUGUGGGCACUGGGAACAAUAUAGCAUGGUUGUCAAUAUUGGUAUCAAUAUCAGGCAUUCAAAAAACUUAGCAUUUGUGGAUGUUUCUCCAGAAGAACUAUUUCACAAUGAACGUUCCUUUAUGAAUGAGGUAUCAAAGGCAAGCCCAAUGGAGACUCAAUCAGCUAAGGAAAUACAAACGAAUGGAACUGUAAAACAGAAUGCAAGUUCUUCAACCGAACAACCUUAUUAUCGUAAGUGACAUUGGAUGAUUUUUUUUGAACUGCAUUUUAGAAUGCAGUUUGAAGAAACGUUGCCUUUCUGCAAGCCAAACUUUCUUUCUGCAAGCUUUAUUUAUGCAGUUUGAAGAAACGUUGCAUUUCUGCAACAACAGUGCUUUUUGCAAGAAAGCGUUUGCAGAGAAGAAAGCGUUUCAUUUCUGCAAGCUUUCUUUAUGCAGUUUGAAGAAACGUUGCAUUUCUACAAGCUUUCUUUCUUUCUACACGCAUUUCAUUUCUGAGCCAACUGUUCAAUCUGUUCAAAGCUCACAAAGAUCCUAGACAAAAUCCAAUUGCUUAUUCAUGUAAUAGAUUGAGAAAGACAAGCUACUUCUUCUGUAUUGUGGUAGUAAUUACUGUACUGUUUUGUCCCGUUCUCAAGCCGAUAAUAAUUUUUGAGUGUAGCUAGUAGAAAUAAACAGAUUGUUGGCUUCGAGGUCGGCUA